rnacentral:lncRNA from 1 species
CACCAAGCACACGUGCUGUAUCUAGCAUAAGGGACCGCCAGUGGAUGCUUGGCGCCUUAGAGUUACUUUUACAUGGUGAAUUGAGGAAGAAGGGGAGACGGCAGUUUGACGAGCGUAAGAGGAGUCAAAGACAAAGGUCACCUCGAGGAUGUUGGCGCAGAUUACGGCGGCGAUGGGCUUAGCGGCCUGGAGGUUCUCGCCAGCGAUGAUGGUGAGGUUGGUGAUGAUGGGCUUGGAAUUGAAGGUGAGCUCCCCAAGCGCGGUCCGGUACUGGCCGAGCAGCUCGUCAACCAGCGCUUGCUCGGCGGCGCUUGCGCCGCCAUUGGAGGCGGCGGCGGCAGCGGCGUAAGAUCUGGGGUCCCGUGCCGGCGGCUGCGCGAGGCGCGGCUUCUUCGCGCCGGGGUCGGGGCUAGCGGCGGAUCUGCGGGCGGAGGCGGAGGCCUCCAUGGGGACAGCGGAGGCGGAGGCGCGCAUGACCGGCGGGUGGGCGGGCGGGAAGCUAGGGUUUGGGGCGCAUUGGAAAGGGAGAGAGCGGGAGAAGCUAGGGUUUGCAAGGCGGGUCGCGUAAUCGAAUCAUGGGGAUCGGGCGUCAGCGAGGGAAAGUGAGGAGGAAGGGCACAAGCGGCGACUUGCUGCUACCGGAUGCAGAAGGCAGCAAGGUUUGAUUUGAUUUGGCGUCAGCGUUUCGGGUCUGGAGACCGGAGGUAGCCAGGUAGGAAGACGGGAGAAGGGAGCCGCGAAAGAAGAGGACGCAGAGCAUGGCACACUUCUGUUUUCCUUUCUCUAUUACUACUAGAUGAGUGCCCGUGCGUUGCAACGAAACUAUAUAAUAACACGAUAACUUAUGUAUAUAUGUGUGUUAUAUUGUUAUAGGUGAGUGCCCGUGCAUUGCAACAGAAUCAAUAUGAAUACAUUGAUAUACAAUGUCUCACAAUCUAGCAUAAGUUGGAAUAAUUGUAUAAAGCAGUUGUGGCCAUUAAACAAAGAUGGGAUGGAUAAUAAUACAUGUUGUAGAGACAUCCCUUUCAUGAGUUCUAGGCUAUCAGGCUUGUCAUUGCGCUUCCUCGGUCCAUGCGUUAGUCCUGCAAAAGUAGAAGUCCACUUAUUCAUAGCUCAUGAGAGAUGAACUAAAUGGAACCGCUGGUAAGGAAUACAAGAUAUCUGGGGAUCACCUUUCAUCGAAUGCUUAAACCAGAUCUUCAACACAGUUUUAAAUUCGGGUCGAUUAUGAUCUGGUUAUGCUACUUAUAUUAUACGAAUUAUGCAUCUGCUAGCUGCUCACUGAGCAAUGUCACACGCCUAAGAACCCCCACCAUAACAGCAUGCCUAGAAAGCAACACCUACCCCCACCAUAACAGCAUGCCUAGAAAGCAACACCUCUGAUUAGAAUUUGUACUCUAAACAAGAACUUCUGGGUAGAAUUAGAAUCGUACAGAGUAUAACAUUGUUGUUAUGUAGAUGUCCGAGCUUCCUCAGUUUGCAAUAACAAUGUAAUCCCUCAUCAAGGGCUAAUACUCAUUAGGUAUUUCAGCCCUUGCCUGCACAUGCAGUUCUCUGACAGAGGAUCUGAGAGGAGGGCCACUGGGGUCAGGGACAUGCCACAGUGCCACACCUACACAGUUGCCCCUUAAUUCUAAAAUGGUGAGCACCUUAGAAGUUAGAAGAGUAGAUUAACAAACUCAGUAUGCAUGGAUUAUGCGCCAAUGAACAAGAUCCAUUUACCCACAUGCAAUUCUCAACGCAAAUGUCAUUUCAGUGACGUUAUUUAAUUAAAAAUUUACAGCAUAAUACAAUGAUGUCAAGAAUUUCUAAGAAUCUACAAUUGAUUAGGAUGGUAAAUGUUGGCCCAGCUCCUGGUAAUGCAGUGUAAAUUUUGUCAUCACAGCAUUGUCAAAACAAGGAGAAAUGGAUCAAGGGUUCAACAUAACUCCAACAAAUGCCUACAUAUUUUUAACAAAUAAUCAAACAUAAGUUUGCAUUGAACACUGAAUGAAGCAAAAGAGCAUUGCUGAAAUACCAAAGAUAGUCAACCUUCUCCACAUGUACUAUGAUCUCUAUAUAUCACCUCAAAUCCCUACACCAGUUAUGCAAAAAAACAAUUGAUCAACCACCAAGGAACAUGUAGAACAACUUCCACAGGCAGGGGAAGAACAAACCUUUGUGUAGCCUUUGCACCUUGGACAGGUCCAUAAGAAAAGUGAUGUUAAGUCAGAUGUGUACACCUGAAACACAUUUAUGUAACCCAAGUCUAUAAAAGGACAAAAACCAAAGAACAUAUCUAUUAGUGACUGGCAAUGCUGCACAUGAAAGGGAGGGAAUGGAAAGGUCUUAGCUAGUAGGUUACUUUUAAAUGGUAGAAUGAUGAUACAGACAAUCCAAAUGUAGAGGGCAGCAGGGUGUAGCAAAAAAUCAGAUCAACGGAACAUUUUAGGCUAGUAUAUCAGAUCAGCGGAACAUUUUAGGCUAGUAUAUCAAAAUGUACUUGGCCUUCGGUGGUAGAUGUGAAACAUAGAACAUAUGUAUGAAACCCACAUUAUAUAUAUUCUCCUAUUUUAAUGUCGGUUCUCAUUCCACACUUUUUAACUGUGAACAUUAGUUCUUUCUUACUACUACAACGCACGGACAUAUCAUGGUUUGUAAAGCUUGUAC